AUCAUGAAAAAAGAAAACUUUGAAGGCCGAAGUGGAGAAGGGUUCCAUGUGAACAGCAGAUGAACAUGGGUCAGUCGGUCCUAGGAGACAGGCGAACGCUGUUUGGAAGGGUGGGGCGAUGGCCUACGUUGUCC